GCCAGGCUGGGGGCGCGGGCCUGUAGUCCCAACUACUUGGGAGGCUGAGGCUGGAGAAUCGCUUGAGCCCAGGAGUUCUGGGCUGCAGUGCGCUAUGCUGAUCCGGUGUCCACACUAAGUUCGGCAUCAAUAUCGUGACCUCCCCAGAGCGGGAGACCACCAGGUUGCCUAAGGAAGGGUGAACUGGCCCAGGUCCGAAACAGAGCAGGUCAAAAACAGACCCGGGGGGGGGGGAGGUCCAGUAAUGGUGCACAGGGUUAAGUGCACUUAGUAUGAAGCACAACGACCCGUGCAAGGAUCUCAGUUUGAGCCUCUG
rnacentral:SRP_RNA from 1 species